AGAGUUUGAUCAUGGCUCAGGAUGAACGCUAGCGGUCGGCCUAACACAUGCAAGUUGAGCGGUAACGGAACUGAUUUAUCAGUAGACGACGAGCGGCGAAUGGGUGCGUAACGCGUAGGAAACUUACCCUUAACUGGGGCAUAGCCCGACGAAAGUUGGAUUAAUUCCCCAUAUAUUAUCGAGAGGCAUCUCUUGAUUAUAAAAGCUUCGGCGGUUAAGGAUGGUCCUGCGUCCUAUUAGCUAGUUGGUGAGUUAGCAGCUCACCAAGGCUACGAUAGGUAGGGGGUCUGAAAGGAUGAUCCUCCACACUGGCACUGAGACACGGGCCAGACUCCUACGGGAGGCAGCAGUGAGGAAUAUUGCGCAAUGGGCGAAAGCUUGACGCAGCCAGACCGCGUGAAGGAUGACAGCCGUAAGGUUGUAAACUUCUUUUUUCUGCGGGGAACUACGAGUACGUGUACUCGUUUGACAGUAGCAGACGAAUAAGCACCGGCUAACUCCGUGCCAGCAGCCGCGGUAAUACGGAGGGUGCAGGCGUUAUCCGGAUUUACUAGGUUUAAAGGGUCUGUAGGCUGUAUUAUAAGUCAGUGGUGAAAGCCUCUCGCUCAA
rnacentral:rRNA from 1 species